rnacentral:misc_RNA from 1 species
GAUGAAGAACGCAGCGAAAUGCGAUAAGUAAUGUGAAUUGCAGAAUUCAGUGAAUCAUCGAAUCUUUGAACGCACAUUGCGCCCCCUGGUAUUCCGGGGGGCAUGCCUGUUCGAGCGUCAUUACAACCCUCAAGCUCUGCUUGGUAUUGGGCCCCGCCAGUUCUGGCGGGCCCUAAAGUCAGUGGCGGUGCCUUCCGGCUCCGAGCGUAGUAAUUCUUCUCGCUCUGGAGGUCCGGUCGUGUGCUCGCCAGCAACCCCCAAUUUUUUCAGGUUGACCUCGGAUCAGGUAGGGAUACCCGCUGAACUUAAGCAUAUCAAUAAGCGGAGGA